rnacentral:rRNA from 1 species
UCCUACGGGACGCAGCAGUGAGGAAUAUUGGUCAAUGGACGAGAGUCUGAACCAGCCAAGUAGCGUGAAGGAUGACUGCCCUAUGGGUUGUAAACUUCUUUUAUAUGGGAAUAAAAUGUUCCACGUGUGGGAUUUUGUAUGUACCAUAUGGAUAAGGAUCGGCUAACUCCGUGCCAGCAGCCGCGGUAAUACGGAGGAUCCGAGCGUUAUCCGGAUUUAUUGGGUUUAAAGGGUGCGCAGGCGGAAUGUCAAGUCAGCGGUAAAAUUUCGGGGCUCAACCCCGUCGUGCCGUUGAAACUGGCGUU